UAGAAUUCCAGGUGUGCGGUGAAAUGCGUAGAGAUCUGGAGGAAUACCGGUGGCGAAGGCGGCCCCUGGACGAAGACUGACGCUCAGGUGCGAAAGCGUGGGGAGCAAACAGGAUUAGAUACCUGGUAGUCACGCCGUAAACGAUGUCGACUUGGAGGUUGUGCCCUUGAGGCGUGGCUUCCGGAGCUAACGCGUUAAGUCGACCGCCUGGGGAGUACGGCCGCAAGGUUAAAACUCAAAUGAAUUGACGGGGGCCCGCACAAGCGGUGGAGCAUGUGGUUUAAUUCGAUGCAACGCGAAGAACCUUACCUGGUCUUGACAUCCACGGAAGUUUUCAGAGAUGAGAAUGUGCCUUCGGGAACCGUGAGACAGGUGCUGCAUGGCUGUCGUCAGCUCGUGUUGUGAAAUGUUGGGUUAAGUCCCGCAACGAGCGCAACCCUUAUCCUUUGUUGCCAGCGGUCCGGCCGGGAACUCAAAGGAGACUGCCAGUGAUAAACUGGAGGAAGGUGGGGAUGACGUCAAGUCAUCAUGGCCCUUACGACCAGGGCUACACACGUGCUACAAUGGCGCAUACAAAGAGAAGCGACCUCGCGAGAGCAAGCGGACCUCAUAAAGUGCGUCGUAGUCCGGAUUGGAGUCUGCAACUCGACUCCAUGAAGUCGGAAUCGCUAGUAAUCGUGGAUCAGAAUGCCACGGUGAAUACGUUCCCGGGCCUUGUACACACCGCCCGUCACACCAUGGGAGUGGGUUGCAAAAGAAGUAGGUAGCUUAACCUUCGGGAGGGCGCUUACCACUUUGUGAUUCAUGACUGGGGUGAAGUCGUAACAAGGUAACCGUAGGGGAACCUGCGGCUGGAUCACCUCCUU
rnacentral:rRNA from 1 species